rnacentral:piRNA from 1 species
UCAGAGUUUAAAGAAAAUGGACUCAUGCAC